CCAGACGUUGAUGGGAAAUGGCUGACAGCAGGAUAAACAAGCAGCUCCCUUUUUAGUGAGCUUCAGAGGAAUCAGGUGGACAGAAUCAAGGUUUCAGACCCUGAACUAAAUACUGGAGAUGUGGAGCUCAAGAAGGCAUGAUUCCCGCCCUUAGGAGUGCACCAUCAAAGGAAGUUAGGAGUGCAUCUCCUCAAAGGAGGAGAUAGAAAGAAAAUAUGAGAGAGAGGGAAAAAAAGCUUGAUGACGUAGAUAUACAGUUUGAGUGUCUUUUCUAAUCUGGAUCAACUUCGAACCAAGAUGAAAGAAGCAUGGAAACAAAAGCACAAGAGAAGAAAAGGCAAGAAAAAUAAGGGGAGAGAGGAUGAUAAGAAUAGUACCAGGCUGGGCGCAGGGGCUCACGCCUGUAAUCCCAGCACUUUGGGAGGCUGAGGCAGGUGGGAUUGCCUGAGGUCAGGAGUUUGAGACCAGCCCGCCCAACAUGGUGAAACCCCAUCUCUAUCAAAAAUACAAAAAUUAAAUUAGCUGGGCGUGGUGGUGCACACAUGUAAUCUCAGCUACUUGGAAGGCUGAGGCAGGAGAAUUGCCUGAACCUGGGAGGCGGAGGUUGCAGUGAGCAGAGAUCGUGCCAUUGCACUUACAGCCUGGGUGACAAGAGCGAAACUCUGUCUCAAAAAAAAAAAGUACCGGCUGGGCGCGGUGGCUCACACCUGUAAUCCCAGCACUUUGGGAGGCCCAGGCAGGUGAAUCACGAGGUCAGGAGAUCG